CUGACUACGGACUCCCAAAAUGCACUGAAUUAACGUUAGCCAGCCUGAAAUGCUUUUUUCGCAAUGGCUAAUGAUGAAGCCAAAGGUGGAGUUACAACUCCAGCAGCAAAGUGUGUUUGCUGAAACUCAAACACUGCAUAUACAAACUUUACGCACCAGAACCACUUCAAAUCAAUGACGUUUUCAUGGUGCUCGGAGUAAGCACUUAAGGUCGUAAUAGUCAAACUGGUAUAAUUCUCUAAGUGAACUAU